UUAGGUAGAGGCUGCAGAACUUAUAAGUACUGGACGUUAGAUUGACAUCUUUGAUCGUUCGUGAAAGGAAGUUUUGCCGAAGUAUGAAAUUGGAUUGUCAAUCCAUUCAUAUUGGGGUUAUUUCGAAUAGGAAUGACACUGUCAUGCAUAGGUGCAUGAUGAGCUACAG
rnacentral:ncRNA from 1 species